GAUGAACGCUGACAGAAUGCUUAACACAUGCAAGUCAUUGGCGAAGCUGCGCUUGCGCAGUCUAGCCAAGGCGGACGGGUGAGUAACGCGUAAGGAACUUGCCCUGCAGACAGGGAUAACAGACGGAAACGACUGAUAACACCUGGUAUUGUCAGGCUGGCGCAUGCCGGCCUGAUGAAAGGAGACGCUGCAGGAGAGCCUUGCGUCCUAUGAGCUAGUUGGUGGGGUAACGGCCCACCAAGGCGAUGAUAGGUAGCCGGCCUGGGAGGGUGAACGGCCACAAGGGGACGAAGAUACGGCCAUUACUCCUACGGGAGGCAGCAGUGGGGAAUAUUGGACAAUGGGGGCAACCCUGAUCCAGCAAUUCUGUGUGCACGAAGAAGGUUUUCGGAUUGUAAAGUGCUUUCAGCAGGGAAGAAGAAAGUGACGGUACCUGCAGAAGAAGCGACGGCUAAAUACGUG
rnacentral:rRNA from 1 species